CGCAACUACAGUCGUUCUCAUCUCUCGUUAUAAAGUAGAGAGUACACAAGGAUGAGACAUUGAAAGCCUUUGCAAGAAGGUGAUAUACUCAAUGUACUCAACAUACUGUUAUAUGUUGAUAUAACAGUCUAUUUUAAUUCCUAUCUCGGUAAUUGCUCAUGUUUCAAGUUGGUGAGGAAGCUAUUCAACUUCUGUAUAAAGUAAUGCAAGUUUUUUUUUACAGAGAUGCAAGAUCUUUCCCAAAGUAUCAUCUUGCCAUUAUCACGAAAGAAAAAGGAGUUGAAAAACAAGGGCCGUUAACUUUGGACAGUUAUUGGGGACCUGCAAUUCUAUAAAAUUUUUGUUUUCUCAUUUAAAACAAACUUAAUAAAAAAUCUACAGUAAA
rnacentral:lncRNA from 13 species